GGUCAAGCUUAUUAGGGCUAAUGGUGGAUACCUAGGCACACAGAG
rnacentral:rRNA from 1 species